rnacentral:tRNA from 1 species
GUGGCCAUAGCUCAGCUGGUAGAGUCCUGGAUUGUGAUUCCAGAUGUCAUGGGUUCGAUCCCCAUUGGUCACCCA